GGGGACAUAGCUCAGUUGGCAGGGUACUUGUCUUACAUGCAAAAGACCCUGGGUUCAAUCCCUAGCACCA
rnacentral:tRNA from 1 species